GUGCUCACUUGGGCAGCACAUAUACUAAAAUUGGAACGACACAGAGAAGAUUAGCAUGGCCCCUGCACGAGGAUGACACGCAAAUUUAUGGAGAGGUCCAUAUUUUU
ensembl:snRNA U6 U6 spliceosomal RNA